CUCAAACAACCAGCCAAACUGAGUGGAUUAAGCUGAAUUUAAAUGAAUUUUAUGUUUUCGCUACCAUCACUGAACUCAGGAUUUUCUAUCCACAAUUUGUUGUAAACGUUAACUCGCCAAAUGACACAGCGUCCAUACUCAUUAAGGAAGAUGUUCUCCAGAACACAACUUUGUUGGUGUCAAUUUUAAGUAAAAUAGAACUGCAAAAUAUUACUAAAUAUGUCCAAGCCAUUACAUCUGCUGCAACAGAGGCCAACGUAUCAGUGGAAAAAAUAACAAAAGUAAAG